rnacentral:tRNA from 2 species
GCGGGCAUAGCUCAGUGGUAGAGUUCCACCUUGCCAAGGUGACUGUCGUCGGUUCGAUCCCGACUGCCCGCUCCA